rnacentral:lncRNA from 1 species
UAGCGGUUUGGCAAAACCCAGAACACUACAGUGAAAAUGCCUUUCCUUCAGAAUUUUGAUGUACUGUUCCAUUGUCUUCUAGCAUCCAACGUUGAUCAUGAGAAGUCAAAAGGUCACUGAUCCAGUUACACUGGCUAGCCCAGGAUGCCCCAGGAUCCACCUGCCUAUCUUCCCUCUCCGAUGCUGGGAUUCCAAGUGUGUACCAUGCCCAG